rnacentral:ncRNA from 2 species
GUUGCGUGCCGUGACUGAUGGGGCUUCGUGGGGCACCACGGUGGGGUGGCACGCAACGGAGCGCCGACCGUCUGGGCACGUCUC